AUGAUGUGCUCAGUGCCUGAGUUUCGCAUGCAGCAGCAGAUCCCCGGUGCUUGGGACUUGUUCUUGGAGCGGCUGUCGGAGAACGGGGAAGGCGUGCAGCUCCCCUCCUCCGGGACCGCCGGUGUCUUUGGCCGGGGUCUCCGCGCGCUGUGCCGCCGGCUCCUCCCGGCGCGCUCCGGCUGGCCGAGGCGGCCCUCUUCAGGCUCCGCGAGCGAACGUCGCCUCCCGGGUGCCGCCGGCCGCGUUCAUCCCGGUUUGAAAGUGGAAACCUCCGGCUGGCUGUUCCAGCGCAUCCCUCCUCCUCCGGGCAUCCCCCGGUCAUCACCGCUUUCUCAAGCCCUAACGAAACCGGCUUCCACCUGCUGCAGCGACAGGCGGCUCCGGCAGGGGACACACAACGGCUGUGACUCCGGAUGGGCAGAUCCGGCGACCCCCCGGCAAAUCCCCCGAUCCCGGCUAGUGCUGCGGCCAAGCCAGCGGGAGCGAGGGGCUGCGGUGUCCCGGCGGCAGUGCCGGGUGCCAACCGCACGGAGCUGGGAGCAGCCCGGGCCAGAGCCUCCCCGUGGAGGCUGCUGGGGGAGGCUCGCUCCUAGGCUCCUCUGCUGCCUUUUGGGGGGAAAAGCCAGAUUCCUGGAAGGACAGGCCCCCACCUCCUGCCCCAGCCGCACACCCCUGGCUCCUUCUGGUGCAGCUCCAGGACUGGGAGCAUCUCCCACGCCGACACUGCCUGCCACGCUGGGUGACAGCUUCCAAAAGCUCUUUUUAAAAGUGAUUUUGGCCACGGUUACACAAGUAAUGAGGCCACAGCGGGGCCUCACGCAAAGUGUUUUUUAUAAACAUUUGAAAACGAGGUUUCAUAACUUGGCAGUUGGACUCAGUUUUGCUGUUUUCACCCAGAGCGCACUGCCGUGCCGCGAGCUGCCGUCUGUCGCAGUCUGCUACAGCGUCGCAGAGCAGGGGGAGAACGUGGGGAAUGAAGCUCUUUCUGCAUUUCGCUUUGCAGUAUUUUACCUGCCCUGGUAA
rnacentral:lncRNA from 1 species